AACACUCGAGUACGUGACGUGUCCAAAGACGAAGUUGCACCAGGAUACCUUGCUUGGUAUAAAAGGGACGUGGAGCUUAGAAGGCCGGCUAAAAGACCCAAUCUUCAGGAAUUUGUUGAGGCGCCACAAGAACAAUGGGAUUGGUUGGCUAAGGAACAUGAGUACAGGGCCACAAUAGGAAAGCUGGAAAGGAAAGUUAAAGACCUUUGAUACGAGAAUGGUUUGCAAGCCACGGUAGAUGAGGGUGAAAAAAUAAGACUAGC
rnacentral:lncRNA from 1 species